rnacentral:lncRNA from 1 species
GAAAAGGACUUGGGAAUUGUUAUAGACAACAAACUAUGCAACAAUGUGCAAUAUCAAUCAGCAGUGGCCAAGGCCAGUAAGGUAUUGUCAUGCAUGAAAAAGGGCAUUCAUUCUCGGGACGAGAAUAUAAUUUUGCCUCUUUAUAAAUCACUGGUAAGACCACAUAUUGAAUAUGCUGUGCAAUUUUGAGCACCUGUUCUAAAGAAGGAUAUUAUGGCACUAGAAAAAGUGCAGAGACGGGCUACAAAAUUAAUAAAAGGAAUGGAACAUAUCGGCUAUGAAGAAAGGUUAACAAAUUUAAGCCUAUUUAGUUUAGAAAAACGUCGCCU